UCCGGUUUAACACCGGCAGUCUUGCUAGAGUCCCCGGCAUGACCCGCUGGCAACUAGCAACAAGGGUUUCGCUCGUUAAGGGACUUAACCCGACAUCUCACGACACGAGCUGACGACAACCAUGCACCACCUGUGUACGAGUGUCCAAAGAGAACCCCAUCUCUGUGGCUUUUCCUGCGUAGUUCAACCCAGGUAAGGUUCUUCGCGUCGCCUCGAAUUAAGCAACAUGCUCCGCCGCUUGUGCGGGCCCCCGUCAAUUCCUUUGAGUUUUAGCCUUGCGGCCGUACUCCCCAGGCGGGGCACUUAAUGCGUUAGCUACGGCACGGAAUCCGUUGAUAAGACCCCACACCUAGUGCCCAACGUUUACGGCGUGGACUAC
rnacentral:misc_RNA from 1 species